AAUUCAUUGCAAAUUUACAUACACAUAAAAUGUAUUAUAAUAUGUUGUGCAAAUAUUUUAAAAAUAUGAUCCAAGACUAAAAUUUUUAAUCUUCUAGGUUAGAAUAUUCCCUAGAUCAUCGAUUGUUAACUUUCGUCAAUUUCAGUAUUAUUUGCAAUAAAAAGAUUUUUUCACUGUCUUUUCAGUAUUUUGAAUUAUAUAUAUGUGCUGUACACAAGGAGCAAAGAGCAAUAAUAUGAAUAUUUUUAGUAUAUGUAUGUAUAAUCAUUAUAAUAUAUAAUCAUUAUAUAUAUAUAUAUAUAUGGUAUAGUAUCACUCUGCUCCAGAACCUAAUUUGAACUACUUUACAUAAUAAAUCUGUUGUUCGAACGGCGCAAGAUGAUGUACAGCCUAAUUCAUGAGAGUGAUAUCGUGCCAAAUGGCCGACAUCAAUUAAAUAAAGAUUCUGACACAUGUCAAGGUUGACUCAAUAUUGCAUCUCAUCAGCGCAUCAUGCUCUGACAUCGAACUACAAACUACACACUACUUUACAUAAACCGUUCUAGAUCAGACACGAACUAAUCGUUCGUUGGAAAUCGAACGCGAUUUUAUAUAAGUUUUAAUAAUAAUAAGUUAUGUACAAGCUUUCUAUAAAAUCAUUUACCGAGAUGAACAACGAGUGGAUACAAUUUAUUAUUAUUUAAAUAUUUAAAUCUAUGGAUCAUCAUGGAUGAGAUGAUGCCAAUGACGAAUACAUCAUAGUAUCUUUAAUACAUCACUUGGCACGGAUUUUAAUGUCAAUCAAUUAAUUCAUAAUAGUUCGCAAUUAUUUCUAUAUUACGAGUAUAAAUAUACUUGAUUACAAUGGAACCAUCAAGAUAUGUUUGAUUGUACGCGACUUACGUUUUUAUAUGCUUCUGAACACUUGAAAACUGAAUUUAAUGAUCAUUUUAUGUAUUCCAACAAAGGAAUUUUACUUAAUCGUUUAUUGUAAAUGUGUACAGAGAAACAUAGAUGAUUGUAUGUUAUCAAAAAAAUAUUAAAAACAAUGUAAAAGAAUAAAAGUUUCUUAUAUGAAAAUACAUGCCAUGUAAAUACAUUUUUUUUUUAAAGAACAUGGUAAUGAUUUUGUUCACCUGCUUUUAGCAUUAUAUAUAGUGUCAAGGAUUUAUAAAACUAAUUCCAGUAACUAUAGCAGUAUGCUUUAUCACAAACAUUCUUUUUUUCCUCUUAUUUAAUGUUUUGUGUGAAAUAUUAAUGCGAAUAUCUUUAAAGAGAACAUGAAUUCGAUUAUAAAAUUUAAUAUAAAUAGUUAUUCGAAUUAUCUUCGUCAAUUUGCUCCGUGAUUUUUGGACGUAACACAUUCAUGUUUUGGUCGAGAAUAUAUGUAUGUCAUAAGAUAACUAUAGAUUUCUGUUUGAAUAUCCUCGUCUAUUUUCAUUGUAAUUAUCGAAAUGCCAAUCGAAAUGCCAAUCGUAUUGCACUUAAAAACUUGUAUGCUACAUAUAUAAACAUAAACAAUAAUCAUAUUCAUAACAUAAUAUUGCUAUAAUCCAUGUAUUAUGUAACUAUCAAUAAUUUAUUCCUUUUUUUUUUUUUUUUUAGUUGCAUAAGAUUUCUUGUCUUCAUUUUUAUAUAACAUGCGAUUCCAUGUAUUAUCCAAACACAAAAUAUAUUAAUGUUAUUACAACUGUA
rnacentral:lncRNA from 1 species